UGGGGAAUUUUGCACAAUGGGCGGAAGCCUGAUGCAGCGACGCCGCGUGAGGGAUGACGGCUUUCGGGUUGUAAACCUCUUUUAUCCAUGACGAAGGCCUGGUUUUUGCCUGGUUGACGGUAGUGGUUGAAUAAGCGCCGGCUAACUACGUGCCAGCAGCCGCGGUAAGACGUAGGGCGCGAGCGUUGUCCGGAUUUAUUGGGCGUAAAGGGCUCGUAGGCGGCUCGUCGCGUCUGCCGUGAAAGACUACAGCUUAACUGUGGUUUUGCGGUGGAUACGGGCGGGCUUGAGGCCAGUAGGGGAGAUCGGAAUUCUACGUGUAGCGGUGAAAUGCGCAGAUAUGUGGAGGAACACCGGUGGCGAAGGCGGAUCUCUGGGCUGGUUCUGACGCUGAGGAGCGAAAGCAUGGGGAGCGAACA
rnacentral:rRNA from 1 species